AAUGAACGCUGGCGGUAGGCCUAACACAUGCGAGUCGAACGGCAGCACAGUAAGAGCUUGCUCUUACGGGUGGCGAGUGGCGGACGGGUGAGGAAUACAUCGGAAUCUACUUUUUCGUGGGGGAUAACGUAGGGAAACUUACGCUAAUACCGCAUACGACCUACGGGUGAAAGCAGGGGAUCUUCGGACCUUGCGCGAUUGAAUGAGCCGAUGUCGGAUUAGCUAGUUGGCGGGGUAAAGGCCCACCAAGGCGACGAUGCGUAGCUGGUCUGAGAGGAUGAUCAGCCACACUGGAACUGAGACACGGUCCAGACUCCUACGGGAGGCAGCAGUGGGGAAUAUUGGACAAUGGGCGCAAGCCUGAUCCAGCCAUACCGCGUGGGUGAAGAAGGCCUUCGGGUUGUAAAGCCCUUUUGUUGGGAAAGAAAAGCAGCAGGUUAAUACCCCGCUGUUCUGACGGUACCCAAAGAAUAAGCACCGGCUAACUUCGUG
rnacentral:rRNA from 1 species